rnacentral:rRNA from 1 species
UACGGGGGGGGCAAGCGUUGUUCGGAAUUACUGGGCGUAAAGGGCUCGUAGGCGGCCAACUAAGUCAGACGUGAAACCCCUCAGCUUAACUGGGGAACUGCGUCCGAUACUGGAUGGCUCGAGUUUGGGAGAGGGAUGCGGAAUUCCAGGUGUAGCGGUGAAAUGCGUAGAUAUCUGGAGGAACACCGGUGGCGAAGGCGGCAUCCUGGACCAACACUGACACUGAGGAGCGAAAGCCAGGGGAGCAAACGGG